GUUUGUUUAUCAGCACACGUAUUAAAAAGUUAGUAUGAGACAGGGAAAAUUAGCAUUGCCCUUGUAUAGGAUGAUAUGCAAAUUUUUGAGGUGUAACAUAUUUAU